rnacentral:sRNA from 1 species
CUCGGACGACCUGCUGAGCCUCCCAACCCGCUUCCAUAAGGCUUUGCCUUUCCAACUUCAGCUACAGUGUUAGCUAAGUUUGGAAAGAAGGAAAAAAGAAAAUCCCCGGGCCCCUUUUCUUUUGUUCUUUGCCAAAGUCGUCGUUGUAGUCUUUUUGCCCAAGGCUGUUGUGUUUUUAGAGGUGCUAUCUCCAGUUCCUUGCACUCCUGUUAACAAGCACCUCAGCGAGAGCAGCAGCAGCGAUAGCAGCCGCAGAAGAGCCAGCGGGGUCGCCUAGUGUCAUGACCAGGGCGGGAGAUCACAACCGCCAGAGAGGAUGCUGUGGAUCCUUGGCCGACUACCUGACCUCUGCAAAAUUCCUUCUCUACCUUGGUCAUUCUCUCUCUACUUGGGGAGAUCGGAUGUGGCACUUUGCGGUGUCUGUGUUUCUGGUAGAGCUCUAUGGAAACAGCCUCCUUUUGACAGCAGUCUACGGGCUGGUGGUGGCAGGGUCUGUUCUGGUCCUGGGGGCCAUCAUCGGUGACUGGGUGGACAAGAAUGCUAGACUUAAAGUGGCCCAGACCUCGCUGGUGGUACAGAAUGUUUCAGUCAUCCUGUGUGGAAUCAUCCUGAUGAUGGUUUUCUUACAUAAACAUGAGCUUCUGACCAUGUACCAUGGAUGGGUUCUCGUAAGUUCUCAAUGAGAUUCUUGAUGGCAGAAAAUUGAAUAUCUGGUAGUGGUAAAGGAUGAAAAUGCUUUGAAGCUAUUUUUUUUUUUUGCCAAUGUGACCUUUUAAUAUUGAUUUCUGUGUCUACUGUAAUAUCCCCUAUAGUUUGUUUUGUUGUUGUUUUGCCCACAACAGGCACUCAUUAAGUAUUGUUUGAAUUUAAAUUUUGUCCUAUUGGUUUUUAAUGGCAUUUCUAAGAGUUUACUAUAGAAUUCAGUUGUUUGUUUUCAGCUUUUUAGUGACCUAUACUUUGUUUGUGCUAUUUAAUAAAUGUUAUCCAUAUCUA